rnacentral:tRNA from 1 species
GCCCGAGUGGCGGAAUCGGCAGACGCAACGGACUUAAAAUCCGUUGGUGCUUGUGCACCGUGUGGGUUCGAGUCCCACCUCGGGUACUA